CCCUUAGAUGUUCUGGGCCGCACGCGCGCUACAACGAUGAAUUCAACGAGUUUAUAACCUUGGUUGAAAAGCCUGGGUAAUCUUUUGAACUUUCGUCGUGAUGGGGCUAGACCCUUGCAAUUAUUGGUCUCCAACGAGGAAUUCCUAGUAAACGCAAGUCAUCAGCUUGCAUUGAUUACGUCCCUGCCCUUUGUACACACCGCCCGUCGCACCUACCGAUUGAAUGGUCCGGUGAAAUCUUCGGAUUGAGACUUUGAUUUGUUUACUCAAAACGCUGUUUCAAGAAGUUGAUUAAACCUUACCAUUUAGAGGAAGGUGAAGUCGUAACA
rnacentral:rRNA from 1 species